rnacentral:tRNA from 1 species
GGGGGAUUAGCUCAGCUGGUAGAGCAGUGGACUCUUAAUCCAUUUGUCGGCGGUUCGAUCCCGCCAUCCCCUACCA